rnacentral:rRNA from 1 species
AAGGGCACCACAAGAACGCGUGGAGCAUGUGGCUUAAUUUGACUCAACGCGGGGAAUCUUACCGGGUCCGGACACACUGAGGAUUGACAGACGGUUAUUGACUUAUACUCGCUUAAUGGCUUUAAGCUGUUAAGUGUUUAACACCUUUACACAAAGAUGCUAGUCCUUUCAUGAUCGUUUGAUAGGUGGUGCAUGGCCGUUCUUAGUUCGUGGAGUGAUCUGUCUGCCUAAUUGCGUUUCACUAAGGUCCCAUUCUUCAUACGUAUGAAUAGCGUCUUAACUCACUUUUACCGCUACCUAUUUGUAGUAAGCGCUCAUACUAUUGGGACCGGAAUGCAACGAGCGCGACUGCACCACCUAAUUGCCCCUUAUCUACCAUUAAUUACUUUAUUAACCGCCCUGUACGGGCACCGGGGCCUUACCUUUACUGAAACUAGCUGGACCGCUGCUUUCCUUUAAGCCAGAGGAAGGUUGCGGCAAUAACAGGUCUGUGAUGCCCUCAGAUGUUCCGGGCCGCACACGUGCUACAAUGAUCAGCACAAAGAGUAUUACCUAUCUUCUUAUACCUAACCCAAUAUGUUAAACUUAUUGCGUAAGGGUAUUGUCUUAACGACUUAUCCGCUUUAGCGCUUUAAGAUUAUUGGGCGGUUAUGCCUGCCUCGAGAGAGUGUACAGGGCAGCAAGAGUAAUGAUUCCCUCGUUUUUACUACUAAUACCGCGCUUGGUAACAUAUUACACUCGAUUAAGUAGGGUCUUUGCUUCUAAUAGCAAUUGCUAUCCUCACCCUUAGGCUCUAAGGAUAUUACUAUCUCUCUAAGGUCUACAGGGAGGUGUAUAUGGCGCACUUACUUAUUCACGGUGGGGACAGACCAUUGUUAACUG